UUAGUUACUCAUCAUAAACAUCAGCUUUGGUCUCUUUAGAAAUAUGAUGAAAAACAUUGUGUCAACCCACUAUUUGAUUGUAGCAACAACCUUCGUAUGCAAUAUUUCCCGAUCAUCAUCACUCAUUCCUUUUGGUUUUGUCAUGCCUUUAACAAGCUUAAACAAAUCUUUACAAUACAACAGAUCCCACAUUUUCCAUUUCCA
rnacentral:lncRNA from 1 species